UACAGAGGGGGCAAGCGUUGUUCGGAAUUACUGGGCGUAAAGGGCGCGUAGGCGGCCUGCUAAGUCGAACGUGAAAUCCCCGGGCUCAACCCGGGAACUGCGUCCGAUACUGGCAGGCUUGAAUCCGGGAGAGGGAUGUGGAAUUCCAGGUGUAGCGGUGAAAUGCGUAGAUAUCUGGAGGAACACCGGUGGCGAAGGCGGCAUCCUGGACCGGCAUUGACGCUGAGGCGCGAAAGCCAGGGGAGCAAACAGG
rnacentral:rRNA from 1 species